GAGCCAUGCCUUUCAGGCAUCCUCUCCUAAAAACUUUCAAAGGCCGGUCCUCGCGACCGGCCCUUUUUUUUGCCCGAU
rfam:Sphingomonas sp. 66-10 SCNpilot_cont_300_bf_scaffold_646, whole genome shotgun sequence.